rnacentral:rRNA from 1 species
CGCGGCCUAUCAGCUUGUUGGUGGGGUGAUGGCCUACCAAGGCGACGACGGGUAGCCGGCCUGAGAGGGUGUCCGGCCACACUGGGACUGAGAUACGGCCCAGACUCCUACGGGAGGCAGCAGUGGGGAAUAUUGCACAAUGGGCGGAAGCCUGAUGCAGCGACGCCGCGUGAGGGAUGACGGCCUUCGGGUUGUAAACCUCUUUCAGCAGGGACGAAGCGUAAGUGACGGUACCUGCAGAAGAAGCGCCGGCCAACUACGUGCCAGCAGUCGCGGUAAGACGUAGGGCGCGAGCGUUGUCCGGAUUUAUUGGGCGUAAAGAGCUCGUAGGCGGCUUGUCGCGUCGAAUGUGAAAACUUGGGGCUCAACUCCAAGCUUGCAUUCGAUACGGGCAGGCUAGAGUUCGGUAGGGGAGACUGGAAUUCCUGGUGUAGCGGUGAAAUGCGCAGAUAUCAGGAGGAACACCGGUGGCGAAGGCGGGUCUCUGGGCCGAUACUGACGCUGAGGAGCGAAAGCGUGGGGAGCGAACAGGAUUAGAUACCCUGGUAGUCCACGCUGUAAGCGUUGGGCGCUAGGUGUGGGGGGCCUCUCCGGUUCCCUGUGCCGCAGCUAACGCAUUAAGCGCCCCGCCUGGGGAGUACGG